GUUCUUGCUACGGCAGAACAUAUACUAAAAUUGGAACGAUACAGAGAAGAUUAGCAUGGCCCGUGCGUGGACAGGCGGGCAGAAAAACUUGGCUUGAUUCA
rfam:Glossina fuscipes fuscipes unplaced genomic scaffold Scaffold458, whole genome shotgun sequence.